rnacentral:rRNA from 1 species
AGUGAACGCUGGCGGUAGGCCUAACACAUGCAAGUCGAACGGCAGCACAGUAAGAGCUUGCUCUUACGGGUGGCGAGUGGCGGACGGGUGCGGAAUACAUCGGAAUCUACUUUUUCGUGGGGGAUAACGUAGGGAAACUUACGCUCAUACCGCAUACGACCUACGGGUGAAAGCAGGGGAUCUUCGGACCUUGCGCGAUUGAAUGAGCCGAUGUCGGAUUAGCUAGUUGGCGGGGUAAAGGCCCACCAAGGCGACGAUCCGUAGCUGGUCUGAGAGGAUGAGCAGCCACACUGGAACUGAGACACGGUCCAGACUCCUACGGGAGGCAGCAGUGGGGAAUAUUGGACAAUGGGCGCAAGCCUGAUCCAGCCAUACCGCGUGGGUGAAGAAGGCCUUCGGGUUGUAAAGCCCUUUUGUUGGGAAAGAAAAGCAGCAGGUUAAUACCCCGCUGUUCUGACGGUACCCAAAGAAUAAGCACCGGCUAGCUUCGUG